CCGUUUUAUGACAUUUGUUGUACAGUUUUUAUUCCUGUCCAUGAUGCCCGGGGCUAUUUGGAUCCAUAUAGUUUGCCCAAAGAAUGGCCCAUGCACUGCUAGAAAAUAGUGGGUCUUCAAGUGUGACCAUUAACCAUUCGUACCAUUCGUAGUCCAUACUAUGAUCCUAUGUGGAUCCUUUUACAUUUCAACUGAAGUAAAUGGAUUUUCAAACAGCUCACCAUUACUUUUAUGUAGUUAAACAAUGUGUAAUUAUUUGAGAAAUAUUCAAUUAUAUAUUUUACAUACAUUUGGGUUUAUACACAAUGUUUCUUUCUGUGCACUGACCACAUAUAGCGCCUGUACGAUCUAAAGUGUCUUUCCUGUAACUUUUGCCAUUACUUUCCGCUUUGAUUCAUGAUGCCAACAUGUAGGAUGAGAGUUACAUGAGGCACCCGAGACCCUAUUUCCGCACCCCUGCCCCUCGUAGCCUCUUUUCGAACCGUCUGGAACCGGGCAGGGACUUAAUCAGUUAAGCAAAGCUAACUGAGAUGGCAAGCUAACUUGGCCCUUUAGUGUGUGUGUCGUCGCAGUCUGGGUUAAAAUUAAUUUCGAAACCAUUGGGCGCUCCCUUUGUGUGCGGAUUGUUUGCUUUUUGGGCCUGGCCAAAGGUAGCGAAAGCAUUGGUUAAGUUCUUGGCUUGUUUGCCAGGCUUAUUUGCCAAAUAAUCUGUUUGUUUGGCCAUGCAAUAAGUAGUUCUGGCCCCGGCGCUAGUUGACAUAGGCAGGUAGGACUGUGUCUUGCCAUCGAGCCUAAACACGAAGCGCUGAAGGUGAAUGCAAAUGAAGUGGUAAUUGUUUUAGCCGCAAUCUUUGCAAUGCAGGAUGGACGAUGCUUUAUAUAAAUAUAUUAUAAAAGAAUACCUAUCGUGAACAUAGUGUCCUAUGCCAACGUAUAGUGCGAUCCGUGUCCAUAGUAUGUUUACUGAAGCAGUUGCACCUCUCGUCAUCUAUUAUUUGGACUUUUACUCCUCCUUCAUUUAUCGGUAUGGAGCCCUGCUUCAUUUGUCCGUCUUCAUUGCCGACUAUCAAUGGCAUCCGAUUGGUUCGACACCUGGCAAUUGGCCUCCAGUGAUGGCUGUGUCUCCUGUUGACUUUAUCCGGCGACAUCUAAUCGGAUUCAUUUUUGCCAUUUCAGCCAUUUCAGCUGCGUUUCAAUUUGCAUUUGCCGCCGACCGAGUCCUGGGGCACUCAUGUCCCUAUCUGCUCGAGUUCGAGUUCGCCGGAUCGCAGGAUAGUGCAUAUUGAAGUCAUCACAGUUGGCGACACUCCCAGGCAAUUUUCUGCGCCAACUUGACCAUAUCCAGCUGUGUGUAUGCAGAUGACACUGUGUCACCAGAGUUCCCGGAUUCUUGCAGGCCACCCUUCUCCUUUUUUUCCCGCUUUUCUCCCUUUUUUUGUGUGCUUUGUUUUUGUUCCAGUGCCAAGUUUUCCGGGGAAGUGUUCUCCUCAUAGCUGCGCUCAUUUUCAAUGUAGAUUUUUUCUCUGGUCCGCCACACGCUGUGGUCUUAUGGACUUCUCGAUUUUUAUGUUUGGCCCCAUGCGACUUUGUUGCCUUGUUCCCCAUACCAUCUCCCAUCUCCUUCUCCGUUUCCCCCUUGGCUCUCCCUUUUGCACGCACUGGGUACAAUUGGUGACCAUUUCCCAUUGUUCCCUGCGCCGCUUUUUCGCAAAUUUUCACUUACACAUACGAAUUUUGCAGUUUUUAACUAUUUUUAUUUCGUUUCCAAGCCCGGCUAUUUGCCAAAAACAUUUUUUAUCUUCGUUUAGCUAUAUUUGUCUCUACACCAUAUUUUUCGCUCUCUCUCUGCUUGCUCCCUGUUCUUUUUUAUUGGGUUUUAUGUCUCCUAGUGUACAUUUUUUAUAUUUCGGCGACUUCUUUCAUGAAUUUUCUUAAAACUAUUUAAAAUAAUUGUUCCGCCCUUGCCUGGUUUUCCAACGGUACCUUUUUUCGGAGUCUGAAUUUCGCUAACAAAAAAGUUAAAGUGGUUUUAAGUACAUAUUAUUUUUAGUAAAUGACUAUAACUACUUUUUAUGGGUAUUGCUAAAAACUACUAUUCGUUUUCGGUUAGUGUAGCCGAAAUACUGCUGGAAUUGGUUUCCUGGAUUUGAAAUUUUGCCUGUCUCUUGACUUGUUGGCUCUUUGGUGAGAGUAAAGUGCGUACCAUGUGGCAUGCAUCAUUUUUGCCAACUACACUCAGUCAGUCGACUGUCGCCAUUGUCCAUCGUCCAUAUCCCUGGGCAAUGCACAUCCUCGAAUCCUCAGCCUCGUCCGCAUCCAUGUCCAUUUCGAUGCUCCCAUGUCCAGUGUCAAUUUUUACCAUUUCCCGUACCAUUUCGCCUCUUGCCUGCCAGUUGAGCGGAUUUCUUUCCCCGUUUUGCUCACUCAUGUUUUUUAUUUCGUUUUUAAUUUUUUAUUUUUGGGCUAUGGCCAGUGCAGGAUCAGCCGCCUGUUGUCAUAAUUUUAGCACUCACUGUGCGUUCUAUUUUUUUUUAUAUUUUUUCUUAACUGGAAAUGCGUUUUCAUCCCCUUCCAACGAUUUUAAUGUCAUUUGCUCUGGCUGAUUUUUUGCGCUGCCUCUGUUGAAUUUGUUUAUUUUUCAUGGUGUAAUUUAUUUGAGACUCGUUGCCGCUGCCACUGUUUGUUGGUAGCUGGGUAGUUGGGUAGUUGGUAGCGGCAUCCCAUUGGUUUAUGGCUUGUAAGUUGUUUAUUAUUAAUGUUUGGCUUAUGCUGGCAGUUGUCGGGCCUCCACUGGGCUUGCUUUUUGGUUGCAUUUGGUUCAGUUCAGUUCAGCUCAGCUCCGCUCAGUUCGGCUCGGUUUGGUUUGGUUUGGUUGCACUUUACGGGCAUGAGCUCAUAAUGAAGUCAUAGUUAUCUGCCCCGCCCCCCGCAUUUUUCCAUAUCUGUGGGCCAUAAAAUAUACGCGUCGUAUGCGUCAUAUUGCGACAAUGCUCGGUAGCCUUCCGUCUCCGUAUCCGCCUGUGUUCCCGUUUCCGUUCCCCUCCUCUUCAUUUUGAGCUUCCGAAAUUUUCCCGCUCCCAUUUUCCAGCCGCACUGCAUGCUCUUGUGCAUUAGCAGCACUUAUGUAUUAUUCGCAUUAGUCAUGCAGGGUGUGCUUUAUGUGACUAUACGAAUGAUAUGUACAUUCGUACAUAAUAUACGAAGCUAAAAAUGGAGCAGGCCUUGGGUUUUUAUUUCAGUUAUCACAAUAGUAAUUUUUACCUAAUUGUGCUUGAAUUACUAUUUGUUUAUAUAUCCCAUCCACUCAAUUCUAAGACAAUGUAUUUUGUAGUAUUUCAAUCAGAAGUAACGGAAUAAAAGCACUUCUGAUGUUAGUUUUGUUCUGCACGAUAAUGACCGAAGUGUGCUAUGGACUUGACAAAAUUAUGGCCGACGAACCGAGACCUGGCAGUAUCACGAUGGAAAACUUUCUGUUGGAAAUAUUCAAAAGCCGAUCGGACCUCGAAAAGUUUAUAAACGAUAUAUGGUCUUCUAAUGGUUACGAAGAGCUAAAUAGCACAAAACUUUACAUGCAUUAAUCUAAUGGCAACUAACAUCGAUACGACCCGAUACAUGGUACAUUAAUUGUUACUAAAAGCGUUCACUCCAUUUCAUUAAAAUGUUAAUGUCUUUUUUAACUCUACAAUAAAAUGUGUCACUUUAAUAAUCAA